rnacentral:rRNA from 1 species
AUGCAAUGUCCGUCUUUAAAAUUCCUAAAAAAAUAUGCAAAGGAAUCAUUGACGCGAUGUCGCAUUUUUGGUGGGGUGACGAAGACAAUCAGAAGAGAAUGCAUUGGAUGGCAUGGUGGAAGAUGUGUGUACCAAAAGACCAAGGAGGAAUGGGUUUUUGAGACAUACAUUGUUUUAAUUUGGCCUUGUUAG